rnacentral:rRNA from 1 species
GACGAACGCUGGCGGCGUGCUUAACACAUGCAAGUCGAACGGAAAGGCCCUGCUUUUGUGGGGUGCUCGAGUGGCGAACGGGUGAGUAACACGUGAGUAACCUGCCCUUGACUUUGGGAUAACUUCAGGAAACUGGGGCUAAUACCGGAUAGGAGCUCCUGCUGCAUGGUGGGGGUUGGAAAGUUUCGGCGGUUGGGGAUGGACUCGCGGCUUAUCAGCUUGUUGGUGGGGUAGUGGCUUACCAAGGCUUUGACGGGUAGCCGGCCUGAGAGGGUGACCGGCCACAUUGGGACUGAGAUACGGCCCAGACUCCUACGGGAGGCAGCAGUGGGGAAUAUUGCACAAUGGGCGGAAGCCUGAUGCAGCAACGCCGCGUGCGGGAUGACGGCCUUCGGGUGGUAAACCACUUUCGCCUGUGACGAAGCGUGAGUGACGGUAAUGGGUAAAGAAGCACCGGCUAACUACGU